rnacentral:lncRNA from 1 species
CUCUUUCUGCCAAUGGCGGUUGGAACCAGCUCACGAAGAGCUGCUCUUUCCUGCUCUUCCCAGUGGGCAGCAGGGGUCCCAGAUGAAUCUGCCAGUCAACUCUUGGGAUGGGAAAUCAGAUCGAGGCUGGUGGGGUGGCUUGUAGGAACGCAGAGAGGUGAGGCUGCCACGCCCACUUGUCAACCGCUAAAGCUUAAUUGGGCCAGAAAUACUCUCCGGUUCCUGCUUCUGCAAGACAGAUCUCAGCUGUCACCAAGCAUCUGUGGCAUCCGGAAGGGACGAGCAGAGUUCUGUGGGCUGGAAGCUUGGAGAACAGAUGUCCCUCGUCUGUGCCAGUUAUGCACAGAGUGCCCAGUCUUAGCACUCCAGAAGCCCAGUGGAAAGCCAAUGAAGGCACUUGGAAGUUUGAGGCCCCAAGAUGGAAACCAAAUUGUCAGUUUUCUUCACUCAUAGACAGCUGCCUUGGCACUUGGGGAUGAAGCAAUGAAUGGUCCCUGAGCCCAGCCCACAGGCUUGCUGACAAGGUGACCAGCCCAGCACCGAGAAGCAGGCGCCCCAAGUGAAGCCCCAAGUCAGAUCAGCUUGUGGAGAAGAGUGUGAAACUGGCCAGUGCUUUCACUUCUCUCAGCCCCACGAUGGACUCAUAAACACAGAGUAUGUGCAGGGAAAUGAGGAAGGCAGCCUGAGGAAGCUU